rnacentral:Y_RNA from 1 species
GGAUGGUCUGAGUGCAGUUGUGUUCACAGCUAAUUGAUCACAAUCAGUUGCAGAUUUCUUUGUUCCUUCUCGACUCCCAUUGCUUUACUUGACCAAUCUGGA